CUACCCUACGGGGGGCAGCAGUGGGGGAUAUUGCACAAUGGGGGAAACCCUGAUGCAGCGACGCCGCGUGAGCGAUGAAGUAUUUCGGUAUGUAAAUCUCUAUCAGCAGGGAAGAAAAUGACGGUACCUGACUAAGAAGCCCCGGCUAACUACGUGCCAGCAGCCGCGGUAAUACGUAGGGGGCGAGCGUUAUCCGGAUUUACUGGUAGUAAAGGGAGCGUAGACGGCAGUGCAAGUCUGAAGUGAAAGGCAAGGGCUCAACCCUUGUACU
rnacentral:rRNA from 1 species